GAUCCUGGCUCAGGACGAACGCUGGCGGCGUGCUUAACACAUGCAAGUCGAGCGGUAAGGCCCUUCGGGGUACACGAGCGGCGAACGGGUGAGUAACASGUGGGUGAUCUGCCUCGCACUCUGGGAUAAGCCUGGGAAACUGGGUCUAAUACCGGAUAUGACCUUACAUCGCAUGGUGUUUGGUGGAAAGAUUUAUCGGUGCGAGAUGGGCCCGCGGCCUAUCAGCUUGUUGGUGGGGUAAUGGCCUACCAAGGCGACGACGGGUAGCCGGCCUGAGAGGGCGACCGGCCACACUGGGACUGAGACACGGCCCAGACUCCUACGGGAGGCAGCAGUGGGGAAUAUUGCACAAUGGGCGAAAGCCUGAUGCAGCGACGCCGCGUGAGGGAUGACGGCCUUCGGGUUGUAAACCUCUUUCGACAGGGACGAAGCGCAAGUGACGGUACCUGUAGAAGAAGCACCGGCCAACUACGUGCCAGCAGCCGCG
rnacentral:rRNA from 1 species